GAUAUGACAAAUAAUUAUAGCCACGCAUCUGACUUGGACAGCAGAGAAACGUUUGAAUUUUGAUCUGUCUUAGAUCUUGAAUACAGCCCUGGAUUGGCAUUUUCAGUACUGUAUUACUAAGGACUGCAUGGACUUGGAGUACUGUAUUACUCAAGGGCUGCAUGGACUUGGAAGUGACAUCCAGGUACACUAGGAACUGAUGCAUAUUAUCAGCAUGUGAAACUACCAUCAUGGUCUAAGGUGCCUACAUGAUCGUAAACUUACUGCAACAGAAUAAGUAAUCAGAUGGAUCAUUUACCUUUGCCUUUGUUUUUAGGAAUGCAUUUUACCUUUCUCAAUGCAGGGAAAAGUUGGUGUUGCAUGCUAUUAAUGCAAUUAGAAGCAUUAUUAUUUC
rnacentral:sRNA from 1 species